AUACGGAGGGUGCGAACGUUAAUCGGAAUUACUGGGCGUAAAGCGCGCGUAGGCGGUUUGGUCAGUCGGAUGUGAAAGCCCUGGGCUCAACCUGGGAAUUGCAUUCGAUACUGCCUGACUAGAGUAUGGUAGAGGGAAGUGGAAUUUCCGGUGUAGCGGUGAAAUGCGUAGAUAUCGGAAGGAACACCAGUGGCGAAGGCGACUUCCUGGGCCAAUACUGACGCUGAGGUGCGAAAGCGUGGGGAGCAAACAGGAUUAGAUACCCCAGUAGUCC
rnacentral:rRNA from 1 species